UGGGCGUAAAGCGUGCGCAGGCGGCUUGUUAAGUCAGAUGUGAAAUCCCCGGGCUUAACCUGGGAACUGCAUUGAUACUGCCAGGCUUGGAGUGUGGCAGAGGGAGGUGGAAUUCCACGUGUAGCGGUGAAAUGCGUAGAUAUGUGGAGGAACACCGAUGGCGAAGGCAGCCUCCUGGGCCAACACUGACGCUCAUGCACGAAAGCGUGGGGAGCAAACAGGAUUAGAUACCCUGGUAGUCCACGCCCUAAACGAUGUCAACUAGUUGUUGGGGGAGUUCAUUCCCUUAGUACCGUAGCUAACGCGUGAAGUGUACCGCCUGGGGAGUACGGUCGCAAGAUUAAAACUCA
rnacentral:rRNA from 1 species